UACGAAGGUGGCAAGCGUUGUUCGGAUUUACUGGGCGUACAGGGAGCGUAGGCGGUUGGAUAAGCCCUCCGUGAAAUCUCCAGGCUUAACCUGGAAAGUGCAGAGGGGACUGUUCAGCUAGAGGAUGGGAGAGGGUCGCGGAAUUCCCGGUGUAGAGGUGAAAUUCGUAGAUAUCGGGAGGAACACCGGUGGCGAAGGCGGCGACCUGGGUUGAUACUGACGCUGAGGCGCGAAAGCGUGGGGAGCAAACAGG
rnacentral:rRNA from 1 species